UGUGCGGUGUUACAUGACCUUGUUGGAUAUGCUGUGGAAAAAGCGAACGAAUGGGCGUACGAACAAACCCGACUUCCCAGUGAAAGUGUUAAACUAGACUUUCAACACUUUUUAGACACAAAAAUAAAUUUCCACAAGAGAGACACAGUGAAAAAGAGUAGAGCGGAGUGGGGUCCAACUAUGAUUAGCAUUGGAACUCAUUCGAGCGCUUGGCAAAUGGCAAAGCACAAUCGUUGAUCCAGCCAUUAAGAGAUUUAAAAGCGUGUGUUUUAGCCAGCAAAGAGGAUGCAUAAAGGUAACAUACAACAGACACCGGCGCAAAGAGAGACGAACACAAAACACCAUUAUCCCAAAUAGUAAUUACUCUCACGAAACGGCGGUAUACAACGAAUGACACAAGGAUGGGGACGUCAACGAGCUUUUAGGAAAUGAUAAUGAAAAUGAGCGGAUUUGUAUGAAGCAAAAUGAGGAUGAGUAUGCCUUGGACUUAGGUGAGAGCAACUGAAAAGAUAUGUAAAUUAUAUUAGAAAAUAAAAUAAAAAUUUCAUAAUUAAUAAAAAAUAAUUUGAAAAAAAUUUGUAAUAAUAAUGAAAAUAAUUCAAAAAUGUAAUAAAAAAUUUGAAUCAUUAAAAUUAAAAAAUAUUAUAAAUAAUUAAAAGUGGGUAACAUAUGUAUGAUUAGAUAAUAAAAAAAUAUAUAAAAUAAAAAAUUUAAUUUCCUUAAAUUUUUUUAUUUGAAGAAUUGUAUUUGUUUUAUUGAAAAGUUGCUAGCAACAUAUAAGUUUAAGGAUCGCAGGAAACUUUAUUGCUAGCGAAAUCAAUACUUUCUAUUAGUAAUAAUCUUUGUUUAAAUAUUUAGUUUUUUCUGAAAAUAUUGUCAUCAUUCUUUUCAUAGCAACAUUAUUGCUAGCUCUUUUAAAAUGUUGCUA